UACGUAGGGUGCGAGCGUUGUCCGGAAUUAUUGGGCGUAAAGGGCUCGUAGGCGGUUUGUCGCGUCGGGAGUGAAAACCUUGGGCUUAACUCAGGGCUUGCUUUCGAUACGGGCAGACUAGAGGUAUGCAGGGGAGAACGGAAUUCCUGGUGUAGCGGUGAAAUGCGCAGAUAUCUGGAGGAACACCGGUGGCGAAGGCGGCAUCCUGGACCAACACUGACGCUGAGGAGCGAAAGCCAGGGGAGCAAACGGG
rnacentral:rRNA from 1 species